rnacentral:lncRNA from 1 species
GGGGCGGACGCAGGAUCAUUAUUAGAUGGGGGCACAUGACAUUUGUUUCAUUAUGUCUACUUUUAGGGUUAAAUGGCAUUUCUUAAACUGGUACUAAUUAUCGAAGGAAAAAUAAAAAUUAGAUGGGGGCACCAUUCUCUACGAAGGGUGACUCGGUAGCUAACAAUUAUUUUCUAAAAUCUUAGUGAUCCGUUUUCAAUUACUGGAAGACGGUACAAGGUUUUAACAUAAUAAAAAAGAUACUGGUUAAUACUUAAUAAUAAACCUUUAAUUAGAUUAGUCAUAAAUUUUUAUUUAGUUGGCUUUAUUUUGAAACACUGGAAAAAUCUUACUUGGAUUUAACUAAAACAAAACAUAACCAAAGCUUUGAAGAGAUCCGCGUGGUUUGGCAGAUUCGAAGAUUUUUAAAAUUAGAGAAAUGAAUUUAGUAUAUUGCUCCAUAAAUAAAUGAUGAAAACUUAAUUAACUUCCAUACAAACACAGCUCGCCGUAAGUUUAACUUCUGCACAUAUAUCCUCGAUCUCCACGCACGUGUCUAUCGUAAAUAACAUCCCCACAGCUUAAUCCACGCACACGUGUGUUAUAGAUAGAGAUAGAUACGCAUACGUCAUCUCUUCUGCGGAAAGCAAAAAAAGAAAGUACUUAGACAUCUACUUUUUUUUUCUGGUACUUUUCUCCUUUUCCCAUAAGGAAUGAACAGAUGCUUCGAAUCAUAGCACUUACAGAUAUCUACUUUUUUUUCUUGUACUUUUCCCCUUUUCCCAUAAGGAAUGAACAGAUGCUUCGGAUCAUAGCAUAGGUUUGAAGUUAUUUUUACUUACAGUACUUAACUGUUUCAUAUAAAUAAGUACAGAUACUGUUUCUGUAUUAGAAAUAACUCAAUAAGUACUAGUAUUUCUUUGACCACAAAAUACAGACACUGUUUCUCUUUCUGUAACAUCCGAUAAUAUAUCUACGGAGCUGAUAUUUUCUGCUCUGGUUUGUGUCUUAUAAAAUUUGAAAUAUUUGGAGUUGAACAAUACGUUGGAGUUAAUUUGUGUGAAAUGAUAAUUAAUAUAAUGACUGAGAACUUCAACAAAUAUCUCAAAGUCAGACUAUGAUUUAAAUUUGAUAUUAUUUUAAAAUCCAACUAUGAUGAUGCAGAUGAAUAUAUAUAUAUAUAUUGUAAAUUAAGUCUUUUAGCUGUUUUUGGCAGAUGAAAGAUUAUCUUGUCAGAUUUUAUAAUUCCCAAAGCAUAAGUUAGAAUAUGAUAUUAUUUAUGGAUGAAGACAUGCUGUAUACUGAUAAACACGUGGGAGGGUUCAAGCUUAUCAUUUUUCAGCAGCAAAAUGAUUGGUGAAAAAGAUGAUUUAAUUCAACAAGAAAACAAUUCUUCAAAAUAGCAAACGACUAGUAUUAUUGCCCCGUGCUAAGCACGGAUAUAAUUUUUGCUUGCUUUUAAAUUAUUUAAAAAAUAAAAUUGUAAUGUUUUUAAAUCAACAUUUAACUUAGUUUAAACAAAUUUUCUGAAGUUAGGUAACACUUAGAAAUAUCAUAUUUGCUAUAUUCAGUUUUAUAUGUAUUUGUUUUAAAAAUAAAUCCUCUUUAAAAUAAAUUUCUUGGAAUUGAUAUAAAAAACAUGAAACUAAACAUGCAAACAAAAUAGUCAAAUAUAAUAGACUUACAAAAAUCUGUAAAAAAUUUUGUCAAGCAAAAAAUCUGUAAAAAUAUGCUAUGUUACGUUAAGAAAACAGAUUUGUUAAAUAGUCAAACUAUAACAAACAAAUUUGUAUACCUAAACUGCAUCAUCGUAGUUAUUGAUAUUUUUCCCUGUGUGCACUCGCAUCACAUCAUUAUUAUUAGCCAUGAGAUUUGAUUUCAAAGCUACAAAAACAAAAUAGAAAUUCUUAAAACGUAAUAUAUCAGAGAAUAACAGCAAAAAAAAAAUCAGAGAAUAACUAAAGAUAAAAGACACUACUUGUUUAACGUUCUGCUUGUGUUUAUGUUUUUUGCAGAAAAGGCUCUUCAGUUUUAUUUUCUUUGUCUUUUUUUCUCUUUUCUUUUCAUUUCUGUUUUUCUUGGAUGCAAAAGAAAUAUAAGUAGUUUCACAAAGAUAAGAUAGAUAAAAAAAAAUAUUUGUAUAUACCCAUUUAAUUUGUAGAUAGCAGAGUUGAGAUGCUUAUGGUUACGUUCUUUUGAACAAAGCUUAUGAUUAUGUUUUUGCUGAUAGAGCUCGUUCUUUUAUUGAAAAAUUACACUUUACAACAUAAACACAGUCAUGUACCUGAAAUAAAUAAUCAAGAUUAUUAAUUGAGAAUAAGAGGAAACUGGAUCUAAACUAAGAGAAAACAUUUAGAAUGAGGAGUAAUCAUUACUUGUAUGGAAUGUUUUUGAUCAGUGGAAGAAAUCAACAGCAGGAAAAAAACUGAUGAAAGAGAAAGUACGUAACACUAAAUAAGAUAGAAAGGUAAACGAAAAAACAGUUACACUACGUGAUCUUUAUUUUGUAAGUGGAGGUGAUAAUGUGAGAAAAUUUAGGAAUCUAGGUAUUUUUUAAAUUAAUUUUUGUACGUGGAGUUUCAAAAUUAAUUUUUAAUCAGUGUUAUUUGUUUUAUUUUUGUAAAUCAUUGCUUUGCCAAGUGUUAACUUUUGAUUAGCCAAGUGACUUGUGCUUUAAUAUAUAAGAGAUUGCUAUUUUGCGUUCCUUCUUGGGGAUUUCGGUUGGACCUUCUAUGGGCUGUGUUUUUUUUUUGAUGUGUUAGGUGUUUUAUGUGGGCUGCUUGUUGGCUUGUUGGAUUGCUGUGGAUUUUGUUUAGUUGUUUGGGCCUUAUAUAGCUUACCUUUGUAUGAUGCUUUGUUUAAUAUUUAAUUGAUGGCAAAAAAAAAACAUACGAUUGCAUAAAAAGAAAUUCAUGUAUAUUUAUUUGUUUCUCGCUAAAUGUCAAAUCAAAAGUGACAAAAGGAAGUGAAAAAAAAAAUCAAUGAUGGACUGAUAUCAACGUAGCGACCAUGUGACAAGUUUCCUGUGACAACUCGUUCCACUUACUUGAAACCCAGCUCACAUUUUUGCAGUACCGAUUCUAACUUUUCACAUGUAAAUUCUCACUAACUUUUCUAUGUAGGUUAUUAAUGUGUUUAGCGUUACUCGAACUCAAGACUUCACUCUUUAACCUAUGACAACUCGUUCCAUUUACUUGAAACCCGGCUCACAUUUUUGCAGUACCGAUUCUAACUUUUCACAUGUAAAUUCUCACUAACUUCUCCAUGUAGGUUAUUAAUGUGUUUAGCGUUACUCGAACUCAAGACUUCACUAUUUAACAACACUCUCACAUGACGAGUUGUCAUCAAUUGACAUGCAGAACUCAAUUGGUGACAACUCGUCAUGCUCACUCGAAAUUUGACUCACAGCUCAAUUGGUGAAAAAUCGUCAUAUGAGAGUGUUGUUAAGAGGUAAAGUCUUGGGUUCGAGUAGCGCUAAGCGCAUCAAUAACCUAUAUGGAAGAGUUAGUGAAGGUUCACAUGUGAAGAGUUAGGUCGGUGUCCUGGAAGACUGUGAAUCAGGUUCUGAGUGAGUGUGAUGGAUUGUCACAUCCUCCCUGUCAAAUAAUUAAUACACAAGUCCACUAAAAAUGUGGCUGAUAACUAAAAAAGAGUGAGAAGAAAAAAGAAGAAGAAGAGAAGCAGACUUACUCUGACAAGAUAAAAAUUUGUCUCAUAAGGCGAAUCAUGAUCAGUGAGAAAGCUUUCAUUACAAAGUCAAGUGAGCCCCAAAUCUCAAGGACAACCCCUUUUGACCCAUGCUCCAUAAUGGCAAAAUUUGACGUUGUUAUCAGUUUGGUCUGAAAGAGAAACAUGGAUUGUAGGCAAUGAUUGGAUUCAACCAGCAAUUUGAUAAAAUGAACACCGGUAUAGUAGUCCAUCAAGUGUGGAAGAGAAAGAGUAGCUGCAUCUUCCACACAACUGACACAAGAAUAAUUUUGGCAUCUCUGAAAUUAAAAACGGGGUUUUCAUUAGUAUUAAAAAAAGUCAGAAAAAUCAAAUAAAAAAAUAAAAAAAUGAGUGAAGCUAUAUACCUCAAAAGCUGAAAUGAUUACAAUGCUCUUUUUUACUUCUUCCAUGUUCUCAAUCUCGGAUGAGUGUAUCAAUAAGAUAGCUUUUGUUUUUUACCUUGAUAGACUCAAUGGUCUGUGAUUCCUCCCAAUCAGAUAUUUCACUCUAGAGUCUGGACACAAAAUGCAGAGAUUCACGUUUCUGAACUCAUACAAAGCAUACUUGGGCGAUGGUUCACUCUGGCGUCUGGACACAAUACUUUUAGUGAUAAUAUCAAUGUUUUGUAACAUAAUAAUAAAAAGUAGGCAAUGAGUUUACCUCGAAUCUAGAAUCGAAACGGUCAGGAAGUCAUAAUCAUGUUCAAAAUGGCGAUGGUUCACCUCUAUCGACUCUUUCAUCUCUAAUGUUGAUGUUAUUUACUUUCUUCUUAAAAAAUUUAUGUCUCAUCCUCUUGUGAAACAAUUUCAGUGUCACAAAAUUAAACUAGCUAAAAAUUAACCUCAAUUGUGAAGCUCUCAAACUUAUUGUAAUGGUCUUCUGUGACAUAUGUUUGAAGAUUUCGAUGUGAAGAUUUUCUAAUACGUACCUUCACUUUCCAAAAAUACUAUUUCCAACUGUUUAGCAUGUCCCGAAAUUUGUGGACAUAAAAACAAUAUCAAUAUUAAUCAAUGUAAGAAAUAAACUAAUUAAACUAACCUCAAUUUGGAACCUCCAAAAUGUAUUUUUGAUGUUAUUCGUGACCAUAUGUACAUACACUUUUAUCUUGGAUGAAAAGACAUUUUUUUGAUAAUUUCUGUUACUUUCCAAGAAAGUUAUGUAGAGUAUCAAAUGAUCUCAAAGCAUCACAAUGAACGAUUGUAAUAGGUUUUAAGAUAAAAAAAAAUAACAAAGUAGAAUUCAUUUGGAUGCAACAUCAUGCAUAAUUGACCAAAUUAUGUACUAUCAUUGCUUGUAAAAGGUUUAGGAAAGAGACCAAAUAGAAAUUUGUGAACUAAUUAGUUGAAAUCUGAUAUAAUCGAUAAAUGAAUCUAGCUUCUCAAAACUUUAAAGUUGAAAAUAAUUGAACAUAACACCUAAAACCAUCAUUUGUAGUAAAGAUAUUAGUAGAAAUAUGUGAAGUUAUUAUAUGGUUUUUAAUGAGAAGAAAAGGUUUUUUAGCUAGACUUUGGAUUUUCCCAAGCUAUUAUGCGUUUGAAAACACAGUGGAAAUCGAUAGAAAAAUCAAUCAAAGUUUAUGUCAAAAUUGUUAAGAUUAAUAAAUGAUCUAGAACCCCAAAAGAUCAGAAUUUGAUCUUAAGUUAAAGUAAUUAUAAUAAGUUUUCUCCAGUGUUCAUGAGUUCAUCUGCUUAUAUAUCUCAAAUAAGGAUAAAAGCAUAGAACUUAAAAAAACAUAUUAACUUCAUAUUUUGUUAUAUGUUAUUGGAGAUAAAUUGGAUAGAAAGAUGUAUAUGUUAAUCAAAAUUGUAUAUGUUAAUCAAAACUGGUAAAUGUAUACUUGAAUGGUAAAUGUAUAUGAUUGUUGAUAAAGAUGAUCCAAUUCAAUAAGUAAACACCUUUAUAGCUGCAAUUCUUCAAAAUGAUUAAUAAUAACAUGCUGAGUUGAGCAUUGUUUGCUUCUAGAAGAACCUUAAGCGAUCUAACCAGAGUUACCCCUCCAAAUUUGGUCAAUUACGGGUCUAUGAAUGGUAGAUUCUUUUAAUUUUCUGAAUUCUUUAGAGCACAAAGUUCCAUAAUAAUAGUUAACUAAUUGAACGAUCUCAGUGGACCCAAUGAUUUGGGGGUGUAUUCUUGUGUUCUGUAGGUUUGAACGGCAGUGCCGUCCCAAACUUUUUAGAGGCCUAAAGUCUGUAAAAAAAUGUGGCCCUAUAAUGAGAUGCUUAUCUAAAAUUACCAAAAACAUGAUUUAAAAUAUUGGGAGGUGUCAUAGGGCAUUUUUGAACAGGAGCUAAAGAAGUCAAUUUCCACUUGGUUAACCAUCUAAGCUAUAAACAAAUAUUACAUAUUGUGGUCCAAAUUUUACUUUUAUUUGAUGUGGCCUGAAACCAAUGCUUUACCAGCUUUAGUAAAGGGACGGGCCCGUUGAACGGUAUUGCAAUAACUUUGAACGGUUCUUACUAUUUUUCCCUUUUGAAGUCCUCUCCAAACUGUAAAUAAAACAAAGAAGGAUUAUCAAGACCCUUGUUUUGAAGUUCCCUUUUAAAGUCCUCCCCAAACUGUAAAUAAAAAAGAAAUCAUAGGUAUAUUAACAAAGAAGGAUUAUCAAGACCCUUUAAAACAUGCCCUUUUUCCAAAAAAAAAAAAGACCCUUUAAAACAAUUUUGAUGUAUAGAUCGUGGACACCAGAGACUAUAUGUUUAUUUUAUCAAGGCUAAUUACCGUUGAGCGUACGUAACGAGUGGUAAAAUGCUUGUGUGGUGGUCUAACGCCUUGACGCAUUCUUCACGAGUCAUGCAGAGUAUAGCACGCAUCUCUCUAUCAUGUGUUAUUGAACCUAACAAAACCAACCACUAAUGGUGAGAAUUAUUACACCGAACAAAAGAUGCAUAAACUAUAUAUAUUGUAAAUGUAAUCAAAAUAUCAUACUCAUCAUCGGUAUAGGAAGAGUUGGGCAUAUACUUGAAAAAGUUACAAUUAGUACACUAGUUGGGAAAAAUCUGUAAAAUAACCAAAAUAUUCUUCAAAUUCGAAAACGAUGAUCAAUGAUGGAGAAAAAAGUUAUUUGGCAAUACCAGUCAAAGAUCCUGGAAAAUCCUCCUUGUGGGAAGAGCAUCCUUUGUGGAGGAUAAAGACCAAGGAUUUUUUCGUGACCGCUUCCACAAGUUUAUACGACGAUGAAAACACGUACAAUCAUCCGUAUGAAGGGAAGGUAUCCAUGAAAACUUUAUUUUAGUUUUUCUCCUUCAGAAUUCUAAGUAAGUGAGAGUAUGCGAGAGAAUGAGAAGAAAAUUCUAAGAGGCACGACUUAGUCAGAAAGAUAGAUAUAAAAAAAAUCAUAUGCCUCCUCCGACCAUGGAGUGCAAUAAUACUCUUCUUUUCUUUACCGAAAUUAGAAAUUACAAAUAUUUUUUCCUUCUUAAAAUUUCCUGAUUUAAAACAAACUAAACAAAAUCAAACACGUUUAGUUCCUUGGUUGCUGCUCUUGCCCAUCUCAAGCCCAUUCCCAUACUCACCAUCCUCCACAAACCUUGACCAAUACCAAUGUGACCUCCACACUUGUCCCAUUUCCUCUAUCGGAAUCCCUUUCGUCUCCGGCAAGAAUAUGUAGACGAAGAUCGACAUCACCACAACGAAGAAGGCAAACACAAGGAAUAAACCGAACUUCAAAUGGCAAAGCAUCGUCAGGAAGAUCUGCGCGAUUAUAAACGUGAAGAUCAUGUUCACUGACACCGUGAUACUCUGAGCGGCUGACCUUAUCUCCAACGGGAAGAUCUCACUAGGUACUAACCACCCUAGCGGACCCCAUGACCACGCGAAACCCGCCACAUAGAUGCAUAUAAAUGUUACAACCACUAUAGCAUACCACUUUGGUAGCUCACCAGGGGUCCCGUCUACCCCAAACUUGGCCCCGAUGCAUGCAGCAACCACAGCCUAUAAUCACAUAAGACAAAACGAACACCAUAUUUUCAUUAGUUUAAUGGAUAGAGACUAGUGCAUGCAAAUAGUUUUGAAAUCAUAUACAUGAGGACUAAAUCAUGAUAUAUUAACGUUUCUAUCUAAUUAUAAUUGAUAUCUAGACAUUCAUUUACGUCAUCAUGUAUUCGUAUAUUAAUGUUCUUACCCAAUAAAAUCACUCUCUUGGCACAUAUAAAGUCAAGUAUAAGUUCAUAUCAUGAUAUCAAACGGUUUAUAUCCAAUUAUGUUUAUAUAUGUUUAUAGAUCAUGACUUCAUAUGAUAAGUCAAAUAUGUUAAUGUCUGAUUAAAUUAAGAAAGUAGAUAUAUGUGUUUCCUUACCUGGCAUAUUAGCAUUUGUGUACCGCCUUCGAGGAAUAGAAACCUACGUCCCCACUUGUCAACACCGUAGAUCGACACAAGCGUGGCGGCGACGUUAACCGAGCCAGUUACCACGGCGGACAUGAGAGACGCAUCGGUCGUGAAACCAAUGGUGUUGAACAAAACGGGAGCGUAAAACAUAAUCACAUUGAUUCCGGUGAGCUGCUGAAAGAAGGGAAUCAUAAUGGCCAUGGUGAGAUGCGGCCGGUAUUUACGGCGGAGGAGGUUUUUCCACGGAUGCUCUAUCGACUGAGACUCUUUACUAGCUGCUACUAAAUCGUCAAACUCUUGGCUGACGUCAUCGACGCCACGGAUUCUUCUGAGCUUGGUUUUCGCCUCCUCGUGCUGGCCUCGCUCGAUCAUUGAGUUAGGAGUGUCAGGGAGGACCAAGGAGCCGAGUGUUAUGAUAAGAGCAGGGACCACUGCACCGCCUAGACUGAGCCGCCAUCCCCAGCCGCCUUUGAUUUUGGCAAAGAAGUAGUUGAGUACUUCGGCUACUAGGAUUCCGAUAGUGAUCGAAAGCUGGAAGCCGAUGUUUAGCGCUCCUCUAUAUUUGUAUGGAGCCAUUUCAGAUAGGUAAAGUGGCACAGACUGUAAAUAAAAAAUUAUAACAUGUAAACAUGUAGGUUAGUAACGUUAAUAUGUUAUAACCUCAAAUAAAUACGGUCCGAAUAUAUGACCUUUUCUAACUAAAGAUUCCUAUCAAUGAGUGAUCAAAAGUUACAUUAUACGAUAUGACGUCAAAAACAAUAUAUUAACUGAUUAAAUCGUCUAAAAUAAGGGGAAAGAGACGUCACGGAUUAAAAGAACAGACCAUGUGCAGUUGUGGAUAUUCAGCCGAGAACAAAUCAAUAAGAAAUUAAGUAAUUGUUGUAUCAUAUAAUAAAAUGUGGAUAGUAAUGAACGUCGUUGUAAACUGAUAGUAAAAGCAAGAGAAAAAUAAUAAUGUCAACUUGACCUAAUUAUUUGAUGAUUAUGUUCAAUGGAAGUGGUUGGUCCAUGACUUUUGUAAAACCAAGGUACAUUUAUGGCGAAAUAAAUAUAAGUUUCAGUUCACUGAAUUUUAUAAGAUACCACGUAGAAAGUUUAUCCAAUUUGAUUUUUUCUACUGGUGACUUAAAUAUGAAAAUGAAAAAUUUAUAAUUUUACUAUUAUGGUUAGUAAUAAUAGUUAAAAUCAUUAUAAUUGAAGUUUAUGGUUAUUAGUGACGGACCUGAUUAGCGAAACCGAUACCAAAACCAAGCAAGAUACGGCCGACGAUGAGCAUCCAAACGUGUUUAGCAAAGCCAUUGAUAAGAGCUCCGGCACAGAUCGACAUCACCACAACGAAGAAGGCAAACACAAGGAAUAAACCGAACUUCAAAUGGCAAAGCAUCGUCAGGAAGAUCUGCGCGAUUAUAAACGUGAAGAUCAUGUUCACUGACACCGUGAUACUCUGAGCGGCUGACCUUAUCUCCAACGGGAAGAUCUCACUAGGUACUAACCACCCUAGCGGACCCCAUGACCACGCGAAACCCGCCACAUAGAUGCAUAUAAAUGUUACAACCACUAUAGCAUACCACUUUGGUAGCUCACCAGGGGUCCCGUCUACCCCAAAC